GAUGAACGCUGGCGGCGUGCCUAAUACAUGCAAGUCGAGCGAACGGACGAGAAGCUUGCUUCUCUGAUGUUAGCGGCGGACGGGUGAGUAACACGUGGAUAACCUACCUAUAAGACUGGGAUAACUUCGGGAAACCGGAGCUAAUACCGGAUAAUAUUUUGAACCGCAUGGUUCAAAAGUGAAAGGCGGUCUUGCUGUCACUUAUAGAUGGAUCCGCGCUGCAUUAGCUAGUUGGUAAGGUAACGGCUUACCAAGGCAACGAUGCAUAGCCGACCUGAGAGGGUGAUCGGCCACACUGGAACUGAGACACGGUCCAGACUCCUACGGGAGGCAGCAGUAGGGAAUCUUCCGCAAUGGGCGAAAGCCUGAUGGAGCAACGCCGCGUGAGUGAUGAAGGUCUUCGGAUCGUAAAACUCUGUUAUUAGGGAAGAACAUAUGUGUAAGUAACUGUGCACAUCUUGACGGUACCUAAUCAGAAAGCCACGGCUAACUACGUG
rnacentral:rRNA from 1 species